rnacentral:lncRNA from 1 species
GGCCCUUGUUCACUAGAAGCAAGGAGCUCCCUGACCCCUUCUUUCAAAACAGAUCUCUUUGUCUUUGUCUUCAUUUCUGCAUUCGUCCCCCCUUUGUUCAAUCCCCUAGCAACCAACAGCGACAAGUGGUGGCCGGGACAGGAACGUGAGCAAAGAAGGUCUGCUGGAGCAGAGAAAGAGAAACUGACAAGACGAACGAGAAACCCUGGAACAAGUCUGCCGGCAGCCAAUAAAAGGGUCACCAUGGUGGGAGCGGAAGACAAUUUCACCAUAAACAGGCAGAGCUCCACAACCCAAGGAAUUCCUGGAACAGAAAUUGGACUCCAUGCCCAAAUCUGCUUUCUAUGGCAUCUGAAGGGAACUAAGAAACUACACACGACCUCCUGGGGAAAGAUGGGUAUAGGGGCUUCAUUUGUUCACUCUGAAAAAAGUUCUACAUCAGAAUGGAAAGACAACAAUUAAGCAUCUAACACAGAACCUGUCAGAUAACAAAAACUUGAUUGCUAUUUAAUGAAUAUGGGCAUGGAUGGAUGAAUUGGCGCUGUCAUUUUCCCUGACAUGUCUCCUUCCUGAGAACAGAGCGUCUCUGUCUCCAAGCCAGCCGCUGUCAUUCCAGUGCCUUAAAGCUCCAGCCACACUCACCUGGGAGGAUGAGAAGCAGCAGAGAUGGGGACAGCCACAUGGUCCUGUCUCCUCUCCUCUCCUUGGUGAUCACAGGUGUCUGGUGCCCUUCAGGGACUUGAAUCCAAGCUCGGAAGUCAACACCGCAAACCUACUCGAAUCUCCUUCAAGUCUCUUGCUCACUUCCUGUUACAUCUGUAGCUACUUCUCUUUUUACAUAUUAGGAGAAAAGAGGUGUCAUUCUUUGAAAAGACUAAGGUACAGUGUAUGUUGCAAGGUGUGCCCAAACUUUUGUGCAUGUGGAAAAGAAAAUGUGUCCGGGACUGGUCAGGUUUGCACGGGAGUGCACGUAGGAGCCAAGGAGCAGGAGGAGCCAGGAGGAACCCAAGCAUUGAGGAGCUGCGGGAUCUACUGCCUGGAGGAGAGGACGGACAAGGCCAGCCAUGAGGAGUGCAGGGAGAGGAGCACUUUGGGAAGACCACAGUGCACAGGACUCACACCCAGCCUUGCUGGAGAAAGCCCAUGCCCCAGGCUUCUUCCAGGCAGCCCCACUGUAAGACAUCUCAUUGCCUCUUCCUGCCCUGGGCUGUCUGACCCACUGCCCCUUCCCCCAGGAACACUUCCACUGGGAUCAUGAGUCACUCUGAAGCCACUCUGAAAUCACUCUGAAGCCAAAGCUGGGCUCAGUGGGGAAGGUCAGGAAUGGAGAAAUUGCCUUUUCUCGUUAGCCUCCUCUUGCCCUGAUUUCAUCCUCCCUAUCCCUGCACACUUUCCCCUGGCUGCUGUUGUAAUCUACUUGUUCUGCUGACGCCCGAACUGACUUCUUUCCCGGUCUCUCCCCACUUUCUUUAGAUGGUCCCUUCCCUCUUUCUCUCCCUUUCCCUCCUGAAUCGAUUCAUUUUUUCUCUCCUGUUUUAUAUUUUCCAUAUCUGUGGGCUUUGUUCUACAUUUGGGGAGCUUUUUAUAUUGUUUAUUUCAUGCUUGUACUUUCCCUUCCAAUCCUUGGAUCAAAUAUUGAUUUUAGAGACUGUAUUUUUAUUUCGAAAAGUUUUUUUGGUUCUUUGAUUACUGAUGUUUUCAAACUCUCUUCUGUUCCUUGAACUAUAUCCCUCCACUCAGUGGUCACAUCUUUGUUUUGUUGUCUGCUUCUUCUAUAUUAUGAGCCUUCCUCAAGUGUCUGCUGAUUCUUGGUUAUCCAAUCAUAGUUGAGAACAAGAUAAAGUGUAGCUAACUGAGACCUCAGAGUAUGUAGGAGUAAAUAGUAUAUAAAAUAGCUCUGGUGGCUCAUGCCUGUAAUCCAGCACUUUGGGAGGCCAAGGCGGACAGACCACCUGAGGUCAGGAGUUCGAAACCAGCCUGGCCAACAUGGAGAAACCCCAUCUCUACUAAAAAUACAAAAAUUAGCCAGGUGGUGGCACACGCCUGUAAUCCCAGCUACUCAGGAGGCUGAGGCAGGAGAAUCGCCUGAACCUGGGAGGUGGAGAUUGCAGUGAGCCCAGAUUGCACCACUGCUCUCUAGCCUGGGCAAAAAAACUAGUUCCAAAAAAGACACUUGUACACGCAUGUUUAUAGCAGCACAAUUUGCGAUUGAAAACAUAGGGAACCAGCCUAAAUGCCCAUCAAGCAAUGAGUGGAUAAAGACAAUGCGGUGUACAUAUACACCAUGGAAUACUAUUCAGCCACAAAAAGGAACAAAAUAAUGGCAUUCACAGCAACCUGGAUGGAGUUGGAGAUCAUUAUUCUAAGUGAAAUAACUCAGGAAUGGAGAACCAAAUAUUGUACAUCCUCACUUAUAAGUGGGAGCUGCGCUAUGAAGAUACAAAGGCACAAGAAUGAUACAAUGGAUUUUGGGGACUUAGGGGAAAGGAUGCAGGGGAUGAGGGAUAAAAAACCAUACAUUGGGUACAGUGUACACUGCUCCAGUGAAGGGUGCACCAAAAUCUCAGAAGUCACUGCUAAAGACCUUAUCCUUGUAACCAAAAGCCAUCUGCUCCCCAAAAACUAUUGAAAUAAAAUAAAAUAUAAAAAGAAAGAGAAAGAAAAGAAAAUAGUUCCAAUUUAUCAUGCC